AUGCACGCUGGCGGCGUGCCUCAUACAUGCAAGUCGAGCGAACAGACGAGGAGCUUGCUCCUCUGACGUUAGCGGCGGACGGGUGAGUAACACGUGGAUAACCUACCUAUAAGACUGGGAUAACUUCGGGAAACCGGAGCUAAUACCGGAUAAUAUAUUGAACCGCAUGGUUCAAUAGUGAAAGACGGUUUUGCUGUCACUUAUAGAUGGAUCCGCGCCGCAUUAGCUAGUUGGUAAGGUAACGGCUUACCAAGGCGACGAUGCGUAGCCGACCUGAGAGGGUGAUCGGCCACACUGGAACUGAGACACGGCCCAGACUCCUACGGGAGGCAGCAGUAGGGAAUCUUCCGCAAUGGGCGAAAGCCUGACGGAGCAACGCCGCGUGAGUGAUGAAGGUCUUCGGAUCGUAAAACUCUGUUAUUAGGGAAGAACAAAUGUGUAAGUAACUAUGCACGUCUUGACGGUACCUAAUCAGAAAGCCACGGCUAACUACGUG
rnacentral:rRNA from 1 species